UUGUCCUACGGGGCGCAGCAGUGAGGAAUAUUGGUCAAUGGGCGAGAGCCUGAACCAGCCAAGUCGCGUGAAGGAUGACGGCCCUAUGGGUUGUAAACUUCUUUUGUCAGGGAGCAAUUGAGUCCACGUGUGGGCUUAGCGAGAGUACCUGAAGAAAAAGCAUCGGCUAACUCCGUGCCAGCAGCCGCGGUAAUACGGAGGAUGCGAGCGUUAUCCGGAAUUAUUGGGUUCAAAGGGUGCGUAGGCGGAAUAUAAAGUCAGAGGUAAAAAUUCGGGGGUAAACCCAGGCGUGCCGUUGAAACUGA
rnacentral:rRNA from 1 species